rnacentral:rRNA from 1 species
AUGAACGCUGGCGGCGUGCCUAAUACAUGCAAGUCGAGCGAACGGACGAGAAGCUUGCUUUUCUGAUGUUAGCGGCGGACGGGUGAGUAACACGUGGAUAACCUACCUAUAAGACUGGGAUAACUUCGGGAAACCGGAGCUAAUACCGGAUAAUAUUUUGAACCGCAUGGUUCAAAAGUGAAAGACGGUCUUGCUGUCACUUAUAGAUGGAUCCGCGCUGCAUUAGCUAGUUGGUAAGGUAACGGCUUACCAAGGCAACGAUGCAUAGCCGACCUGAGAGGGGGAUCGGCCACACUGAAAGUGAGACACGGUCCAGACUCCAACGGGAGGCAGCAGUGGGGAAUCUUCCGCAAUGGGCGAAAGCCUGACGGAGCAACGCCGCGUGAGUGAUGAAGGUCUUCGGAUCGUAAAACUCUGUUAUUAGGAAAGAACAUAUGUGUAAGUAACUGUGCACAUCUUGACGGUACCUAAUCAGAAAGCCGCGGCUAACUACGU